GCAGUCGGGCGUUCCGUCGCGGGUCGGCAUGAGCCGGCAUGAGGAAAGUCCGGGCAACACAGAGCACCAUGUUUCCUAACAGGAAGCCGGCAGCGAUGCCGGAGCCAGUGUGACAGAAAACGACCGCUUCUGAUCCUACGGAUCGGGAGUAAGGGUGAAAAGGCGGGGUAAGAGCCCACCGGGCUUUAUGGCGACAUGAGGCGCCGCACAUCUCAUGGGUUGCAAGGCCAAGUAUACCGGCAUUCAAGGAUUGCUCGUCCAUUGCCGGGGGGUAGGCUGCUUGAGCCAUGCGGCAACGCAUGGCGUAGAUAAAUGACGGAACGGCCCUGAUGGCCCUCUUCGGAGGAAGUGUCAGGCCGACAUAACCCGGCUUACAGUCCGGCUGCACGG
rnacentral:RNase_P_RNA from 1 species